rnacentral:lncRNA from 1 species
AAAAUCUAUAGAUCAAAUAAAUAUUGGAAGUGUAAAGAUGUCAAACUCAGCAAGGCCCAAGAACUUGAAACCACAAGGAUUUAUGCUGGAAGUCGUUGUCCAAAAUGUCAAGGUGAGACAAUGGAUUAUACCUUGAAUCCUGGAGAGGAAAAAGCCUCUGAGUUGUACUAUAAGAUAUAAGAUAUCAUGACAGGACACCUAUCCUUUGGAAGCUUGUCCAAUUAUACUCCUUGGACGAGCUAUAUUUUAAGGAGGGGUGGUUUUGUAACAUCCCGAAAUGUCAUUCCAAUUUGAACAUUGCCCCUAGCCCUGUGAGAACUCUAUUGGAAGCUCUAAGCCUAAGUAAUUGUUCCCUUGUGAGAUCCAUGGUUUGGUGCCUUGAGCAUGUAUAAUUGCUAUGAUUUUGCUAGCUCAUAUCUAAUAUUAGCUAGCUAAUAGUUAGCUAAUAGUUAGCUAGCUAAUAUUAUAUAUGAAAAGGUAGCUAAUAGUUAGCUAGCUAAUAUUAUAUAUGAGCUAUUAGCUAGCUAACUAUGAGCAGAUAAUAAAUCCAAGAAGGACUUUAAUUAUCUUACUGUUCAUAACUGUACAACAUGCAGUAAUUUGGCCACAGAUGCUCUGGUACAAGUCUCCAAAUGCAUCAACGAUUAUUUUAUGUAUAUAUGAAUCACUUGCCUACAUCAACAAGAAAAUAAUAAAAAACUUCAGAUUUCACCAUCUGAAAUAUUGGUCAUUAGUUGCCUACUAGUCAUGAGACUAAUGAUUGUCAAUCAAGAAUAUAACAGAUUCUGCGACGGCAAGGAAAUGACGCCUCUACUUAUGAAGUAUAUGAUCUUCAUCCAUGACACAUCUUGGCUGCAUAGGAUCUUGUCAGACGAAGCAUUUUUGUUAUCCUACCCAAUAUUUUCGGCAGAAUCUCCUUUGUAUCUUAGCCUUAUCUCCCGAUCACAGCAAGGAUAGAUAAAAGGGUUACAAGCAUUACUUACAUCGGAGAAAUUAAGCAGAUACCAUACCAAGCACACCCGAUAGUUUUGGAUGACCAAACCAGAUAGUGACAAGUUUAAAGUACCAACACUCCACUUCAAUGGAUGGACAGCACACAGACCAGAAAGUUAACCUCAGUACUCAACCAACUAAAACCAUACAGUACAGUCAUGAAGACGACCAACAUAAAGUUUAAUUUGAAGCAGAACAGACAACGCAUGAUGCCAUCUCUGCUCCCAAAGACCAACCACGUCUGCAAGGAUGUAGCUAGAGCUUUCAACCCUUAAAACCACGACGAUGCGAAGCACCUCUGUCUCGACGAGCGACACGAGCUGAAGGUCCAGACGAAGAAGUACCUGAGAACAGCAACACGAACGGUAAAUACAUGGGUAUUGAACCCUAAACUGGGAAUGGAAUUAUAAACCACAAGUAUAGGACAUAACCUGCAGCACGAUGAGAACUGGAAGCAAAAGAAGGACCCCGAUACGCCUCAGGUGAAGGUGGGACGACCUCGAGCGGCACCGGACUAUCAGGAGGAACUACUUCCAACGGGAUAGGCUCUGCAUAGAUUGAACCAGGAUAAGUUACAACACUAGUAACUGUAGCAAGUAAACCCAGAAGAAAAUUUGCAUAUACCUGGAGAAUGUGGCCCUGGAACCCUACAAGACAUCGGCGAUGGCUUCCUCUCUAAGUACUCCCACUGGUCAAAGAAUGGUCGAUAGAAUUCAUGACUAAUAUCAGACACACCUCUGAAGUCACCAACGGUACGAAGCACCAAAGCCAUGAUGUACGGCUGAAACGCUAGAGGUGAGUGCACAUCCCGCUUGCACUCCAGCAUUUGGUUCACCGUCCAGUCCAACAGGUUAAACUUCUCCCCGGACAUCACAGCAGUUAUCAUCUCAUAGAAGGGCCAACCAAUGGCCUUAUCAUUAGCUCCCGCAGAAGGCACGAUUGUACGCCUCAGAAUCUCGUAAAUUAGCUUCGGAAUCCUCCUCAAGCCUCCUUGUGGACCAUACACGGAUGUCUCCUGGUAAUAGAAACCUUGGACAUCACCUGACUGCAACCUUGGAAAGUCAACAACCAACUUGCCUUGCUUCAUCUCCUGGUAGUUUAAACCAACAGCAGCUGCAAGAUCCUUGAAUGUGGCCUUGAACUUUCUGGUGCCGGUCAUCCAAACCAGCUCCUCCUUCUGAGCCCUAACCUCCAGAGUGGCAUAGAACUGCCGGAUCACUGCUUCAUUCCAAUCCUGCUUAAGGCCAAGCGCAUUCCUCCAACCGACUCCUUCGAACAUGUCAACCAAGCUCCUCGCGUGCACGAAUCUUUCCAAAUAGCUCCAGCUCACCCAUUGUUGAUCAAGAUGCAUUGGCCUUAUAUCCAAGCCUCCUCGGAAUAGCUUGAACUGAGAGUGAGUGUGGAAAUAGGAUGAUGGAGAAUCUCUUGCUUGCUCAAAGUGCCUAGAUAGGCAAACCUUACUGAACUCCUCCGGCACCCAAUGGUAACGAACAGCUGGAACUGCCGACAUGUCCAUCGGCUGUGUUCCUUCAUCAUCAUCUCCGAAAGAAUCAGCCCUUGGUCUCUUCUCCUCCCGACGAUUGGAACCUGCACCAAACCUGCAAUGCAAGAAGAAAGAUCAAUAGAUACUGGACUUGGAUAAAACGAGACCUGUAAUAGAAACUUUAAGCAACUAUAAGUGCAAUAAUUCAAAUGAUGCGACAAUGUGAUCUACAACAUGUAUACAGAGUAUAUAUAUAUAAAUGAAGUAUACAAGAGGUACUUGUAUGGUUUGGAUAACAAAUAAAACAGGUUGGAAUGAAAUAAUCAGCAAGGAACAGACACUGACGGAAUAUUCGCCAAGGUCCGCGGACCGGCUGUCGAGUCUGUACAUUGCAGUGAUAAAUCAGACCGAGAGCAAAUACCAGUCCUGGAACAUUUAACCAGAGGUAACAGAACGUUCCGCCAACAGAGAUCAUCCAACCAGAAGAGAAUCAACCACUACAAACUAGUUUUGCGGAGUGUCUGCGAAUUUUCGCAGACCGUCCGCUAAAGCUACAGGUAGUGUCAGUGAGUAAACUGAACUUUUUUGAGUAACUACGAAACCAGCAGAAUAUUCCACCAGGAUCUAACAGACCAUCCGUCAACCGUCGAAGAUAGAAAAAUUAGAACAGUAUCCGCAAGAACUUGGAUCUCUCAUAUCUUCAACAUCAAGCAGUUUGAUCUCACCAAAAAAUGCACAAAGGUAUCCAUAGACAUUCUCUACCAAAUCCCUAAGAAGGUUUACCCGUAACUCUAACCAAUCAAGAGAUCAAGACAACCCUAGAUUUGGCUGAAAAAGGGAAUAAAACAAAAAGAAGCAAAGGAAUUUGAUGCAUACCUUCCCCUCAUGAUUGAAGAGGCGCGUGGAAGCAUCUAGACCACGGGAAUCCACCGAAGCAAGGGCGCAGGCGCGGCAGUGGGGGCGAUGGCCUCGACAGAAAUAAUAGAAAAAGAAGAACCCCAUAAGUCACUGUCAGCCUAUUUAUAGAUCGUGGAGUCCAUUAGCUGCGGUGGACCGUCAGUCAAUAUGGAUAACUGACUCAAAGUUGACUGUCAAUCUUUCAGUACCACUGUCCAAUGAUUGGACUGGACCGUCCAUGAGUUGGCAGAAGAUGCCUCAUGACCGCGUUUUCUAUCAAGACAAAUACAGAGAUCUCAAGACAUCAAUGAUGCACGAAGAGCACCUCGUACCUUUCUCAACAGAGCGUGUUUAUCAAGUUCAUCUAACAGAAUAUUGAUCAAUUUUCCCCAAAAACUAUAUAGAUCAAAUAAAUAUUGGAAGUGUAAAGAUGUUGAACUCAGCAAGGCCCAAGAACUUGAAACCACAAGGACUUAUGCUGGAAGUCGUCCGAAAUGUCAAGGUGAGACAAUGGAUUAUACCUUGAAUCCUGGAGAGGAAAAAGUCUCUGAGUCGUACUAUAAGAUAUAAGAUAUCACAACAAGACACCUAUCCUUUGGAAGCUUGUCCAAUUAUACUCCUUCAACGAGCUCUAUUUUAAGGAGGGGGGGUUUUGUAACGUCCCGAAAUGUCAUUCCAAUUCGAACAUUGCCCCUAGCCCUGUGAGAACUCUAUUGGAAGCUCUAAGCCUAAGUAGUUGUUCCCUUGUGAGAUCCAUGGUACGGUGCCUUGAGCAUGUAUAAUUGCUAUGAUUUUGCUAGCUCGUAUCUAAUAUUAGCUAGCUAACUAUUAGCUACCUAUUAGCUGGAGGGUGUUUAGAUGCACAGCUAACAAAAAAUGCUACUAAGGUAACUAGCUAUUAGCUGCUAUUAUCUUAUUUAUUUAGUCCAACUAAUCAGAUAAUUAUUAUUUAGAGGUCUAGCUAACAAUUAGCUAUUUUAUUAGCUGCUCCAGUUUGGAUCCAAAAGAGAUAACUAUUAACAAUAUAGCUAUCAUCAUGGCCUUAAUUACCUGACUAUUUAGAACUGUACAACAUGCAGUAAUUUGGCCAUACAGAUGCUGGUACAAGUCUCCAAAUGCAUCAACGAUUAUUUUAUGAAUAUAUGAAAACAGAAUAGCAAUGCAGCAGUGCUUCUCUCAUGGGAUCAUCACUUGCCUACAUCAACAAGAAAAUAAUAAUAAACUUCAGACUUCA